GAGGGUGAUCGGCCACAUUGGAACUGAGACACGGUCCAAACUCCUACGGGAGGCAGCAGUGGGGAAUAUUGCACAAUGGGCGAAAGCCUGAUGCAGCAACGCCGCGGGAGUGAUGAAGGCCUUCGGGUCGUAAAACUCUGUCCUCAAGGAAGAUAAUGACGGUACUUGAGGAGGAAGCCCCGGCUAACUACGUGCCAGCAGCCGCGGUAAUACGUAGGGGGCUAGCGUUAUCCGGAUU
rnacentral:rRNA from 1 species